rfam:Homo sapiens chromosome 2, GRCh38 reference primary assembly.
GAACUGAUCUUUUCCUCACUAAUCCAAGUAUCUGUCUUCCAAAGCUUUGUGCUUGGUGGAAGAGAACUACCUUUGCAGUUAAGAACAACUUUUCCCUGGUCUGGGGGAUAUUCCCUGGAGCUGGCCAUAUUCCACUAAGAUGAAUAUUUCUCCACAUUUUAACAUCUCUGAAAUCUGAAACCAUUUUGCAGUUUGUGGUU